AAGUCGUAACAAGGUUGCCGUAGGGGAACCUGCGGCAGGAUCACAGCGAGAGGCCGGGGGGCGAGGACGGGGGAGCGCAGCAAUGUUCUCUCCUGUGUUCGCCCCGCUCGGCAGCAAGCCCCUGUGAAGUGUGAUGCUGUGCGGACGAGGGUGCCUGUACCGGGUGCCGCGUCCGCACGGGAGAGAAACAAAUCUCAUUCGGGUGUUCCAGCAUGCGAUAAUAAACAAACAACAACAACAACUCUCAACAAUGGAUCUCUUGGCUCCU
rnacentral:misc_RNA from 1 species